rnacentral:rRNA from 1 species
UGGGAACUGCGUUNUGAACUGGGUAGCUAGAGUAUNUCAGAGGGGGGUAGAAUUCCACGUGUAGCAGUGAAAUGCGUAGAGAUGUGGAGGAAUACCGAUGGCGAAGGCAGCCCCCUGGGAUAAUACUGACGUUCAUGCUCGAAAGCGUGGGUAGCAAACAGGAUUAGAUACCCUGGUAGUCCACGCCCUAAACGAUGUCGAUUAGCUGUUGGGCAGCUUGACUGCUUAGUAGCGUAGCUAACGCGUGAAAUCGACCGCCUGGGGAGUACGGUCGCAAGAUUAAAACUCAAAGGAAUUGACGGGGACCCGCACAAGCGGUGGAUGAUGUGGAUUAAUUCGAUGCAACGCGAAGAACCUUACCUGGUCUUGACAUGUACGGAACCCUCCAGAGACGGAGGGGUGCCUUCGGGAACCGUAACACAGGUGCUGCACGGCUGUCGUCAGCUCGUGUCGUGAGAUGUUGGGUUAAGUCCCGCAACGAGCGCAACCCUUGUCAUUAGUUGCCAUCAUUCAGUUGGGCACUCUAAUGAGACUGCCGGUGACAAACCGGAGGAAGGUGGGGAUGACGUCAAGUCCUCAUGGCCCUUAUGACCAGGGCUUCACACGUCAUACAAUGGUCGGUACAAAGGGUAGCCAAGCCGCGAGGCGGAGCCAAUCUCAUAAAACCGAUCGUAGUCCGGAUUGCACUCUGCAACUCGAGUGCAUGAAGUCGGAAUCGCUAGUAAUCGCAGGUCAGCAUACUGCGGUGAAUACGUUCCCGGGUCUUGUACACACCGCCCGUCACACCAUGGGAGUGGGGGAUACCAGAAGU